AAUUAAAACUUUUUGCGAGUGGAUUAAUUAGUUGCUAUAUGCAGUGGAUGAAGGAAAAGUAAGAGACAAUGAAGCAAUCACAAACACAAGCAAUUUUAUAGUGGUUCGGAGCUAACCCUUGCUCCUACGUCCACUCCCCAAGCCUCACUUGGAAAUUCACUAUAAUCCCUCGGAUUACAGCCGGUUGUUUUACAAGUUCACAACCCAACUUGUUGUUUUACGAGAUCACAACGAACUCGGUCGGUUUUCACAGGCUCACCGACUAGAACCACCCGAUUGUUUUUCCGGGAUCACAAUCAAACCCUUACACCGUUGGUUUUAACCUUGGCUCACCAACAAACCUUAACACCCUUGAUUCAAUCCCCUGAUUGAAUCAAGUAAGAAACAAAUAGUUUGAAACAAA
rnacentral:lncRNA from 1 species